UGGGGAAUAUUGCACAAUGGGGGAAACCCUGAUGCAGCGACGCCGCGUGAAGGAAGAAGUAUCUCGGUUAUGUAAACUUCAUAUCAGCAGGGAAGAAAAUGACGGUACCUGACUAAGAAGCCCCGGCUAACUACGUGCCAGCAGCCGCGGUAAUACGUAGGGGGCAAGCGUUAUCCGGAUUUACUGGGUGUAAAGGGAGCGUAGACGGAGCAGCAAGUCUGAUGUGAAAGGCGGGGCUCAACCCCUGGACUGCAUUGGAAACUGUUGUCUGAGUACCGGAGAGGCAAGCGGAAUUCCUAGUGUAGCGGUGAAAUGCGUAGAUAUUAGGAGGAACACCAGUGGCGAAGGCGGCUUACUGGACGGUAACUGACGUUGAGGCUCGAAAGCGUGGGGAGCAAACAGGAUUAGAUACCC
rnacentral:rRNA from 1 species